GACUAUUUAUUACCCUUGUCUUUUGCGCACUUGUUGUUUCCUGGGCGGGUUCGCUCGCCACCAGGACCACAAUAUAAACCUUUUUUAUGCAGUUGCAAUCAGCGUCAGUAUAACAAAUGUAAAUCAUUUACAACUUUCAACAACGGAUCUCUUGGUUCUGGCAUCGAUGAAGAACGCAGCGAAAUGCGAUACGUAGUGUGAAUUGCAGAAUUCAGUGAAUCAUCGAAUCUUUGAACGCACAUUGCGCCCUUUGGUAUUCCAAAGGGCAUGCCUGUUCGAGCGUCAUUUGUACCCUCAAGCUUUGCUUGGUGUUGGGCGUUUUUGUCUUUGGCCCGCCAAAGACUCGCCUUAAAAUGAUUGGCAGCCGGCCUACUGGUUUCGCAGCGCAGCACAUUUUUGCGCUUGCAAUCAGCAAAAGAGGACGGCAAUCCAUCAAGACUCCUUCUCACGUUUGACCUCGGAUCAGGUAGGGAUACCCGCUGAACUUAAGCAUAUCAAUAAGCGGAG
rnacentral:rRNA from 1 species